GUAUGACGGGCGUCCGGCGAUCGGGUUCGGUGGAAAGGUUUUUACGGUUCCGACGGGAGUGUGCUCGCGGCCUAUCAGCUUGUUGGUGGGGUAAUGGCCUACCAAGGCUUCGACGGUAGCCGGCCUGAGAGGGUGACCGGCCACACUGGGACUGAGACACGGCCCAGACUCCUACGGGAGGCAGCAGUGGGGAAUAUUGGACAAUGGGCGGAAGCCUGAUCCAGCAACGCCGCGUGAGGGAUGACGGCCUUCGGGUUGUAAACCUCUUUCAGUACCGACGAAGCGCCGAUGAUGGUGGUGACGGUAGGUACAGAAGAAGCACCGGCCAACUACGUG
rnacentral:rRNA from 1 species